rnacentral:tRNA from 1 species
GCUUCAGUGACAGAUUUAAUGUGUUGGCUUUAAGCGCCAGUUAUAGGCUUUUUUGCUUUUGUAGCG